AUACGAAGGGGGCAAGCGUUGUUCGGAAUAACUGGGCGUAAAGCGCACGUAGGCGGAAUGUUAAGUUAGAGGUGAAAUCCCAGGGCUCAACCCUGGAACGGCCUUUAAUACUGGCAAUCUAGAGACCGAGAGAGGUGAGUGGAAUUCCGAGUGUAGAGGUGAAAUUCGUAGAUAUUCGGAGGAACACCAGUGGCGAAGGCGGCUCACUGGCUCGGUACUGACGCUGAGGUGCGAAUGCGUGGGGAGCAAACAGGAUUAGAAACCCUUGUAGUCC
rnacentral:rRNA from 1 species